GAUGAACGCUGGCGGCGUGCCUAAUACAUGCAAGUCGAGCGAACGGACGAGAAGCUUUCUUCUCUGAUGUUAGCGGCGGACGGGUGAGUAACACGUGGAUAACCUACCUAUAAGACUGGGAUAACUUCGGGAAACCGGAGCUAAUACCGGAUGAUAUUUUGAACCGCAUGGUUCAAAAGUGAAAGACGUUCUUGCUGUCACUUAUAGAUGGAUCCGCGCUGCAUUAGCUAGUUGGUAAGGUAACGGCUUACCAAGGCAACGAUGCAUAGCCGACCUGAGAGGGUGAUCGGCCACACUGGAACUGAGACACGGUCCAGACUCCUACGGGAGGCAGCAGUAGGGAAUCUUCCGCAAUGGGCGAAAGCCUGACGGAGCAACGCCGCGUGAGUGAUGAAGGUCUUCGGAUCGUAAAACUCUGUUAUUAGGGAAGAACAUAUGUGUAAGUAACUGUGCACAUCUUGACGGUACCUAAUCAGAAAGCCACGGCUAACUACGUG
rnacentral:rRNA from 1 species